CGGGCUUGUUUACGGCCCGACUGCGCAGGCGUGCUCACCUGGCGCGCUCCACGCGGCGGGGCGUCCGCAGGCUCCUCCCCCUGCCGGGCGCGGCCUCGGCGCGACCCCAGAGACUCGCAGGUGUUGUGGUGCGAGACGGAUUGGCGGGGAGAGGACGUACAGAUACGUAGCAUCUGUGUUUGCUAGUCAAAUAUCUGCAUACCUAUAUGCGGAUGGGCCCUGAUCCGAAUGCUGGUGUCCUUGUGAGAAGAAGAGAGGCACAGACACACAGAGGCAGUGAGCAAAGUGCUGCGGCUGCAAUUGGAGGAACCCCAGGAUUGCCAGCGAACCCCCCAAACUAGGAGGAGGCAGGAAGAAUCCUUCCCUACUAGUUUCAGAGAGAGCAGACCCUGUCUGUACCUCAGUUUCAGACACUGAACUUCCACAUCUGUGAGACAGCAAAUGUUUUAAGUCACCUGCUUUGUGGUACUUUGUCGCAUUAGCCCUAAGAAAUGAAUACAGAUGCUGUAGGUAAUCAGAAUAUCUAAAAACAAGUGAAUUUUAGAUCUGAGAAACAUUCUAAUUGGAAAAAAAAAGGUUAAGUUAUCGUUAUUUACCCAUGAUAUUUGUUUGGAAAAUGCAAGAAAAUAAAUGAAAAGGGGCUUCCCUGGUGGUCCAGUGGCUAAGACUCCAUGCUUCCAAUGCAGGAGGCCCAGGUUUGAUCCCUGCUCAGAAAACUAGGGCUUCCCCAGUGGCU